CCUACGGGUGGCUGCAGUCGAGAAUCUUUCACAAUGGGGGAAACUCUGAUGGAGCGACGCCGCGUGCGGGAAUGAAGGUCUUCGGAUUGUAAACUCCUUUCAUGUGGGAGUAAAUGAACAAUAUUGUACCACGUGCGGAAUAUACUGCUAACUCGGUGCCAGCAGCCUCCGUAAUACCGAGGUAUCAAGCGUUGUUCGGAAUCAGGGGGCGUAAAGCGUGCGUAGGCUGUUUCGUAAGUCGGGUGUGAAAGACGCCGGCUCAAACAGGGGACGGCAGCUGAAACUGCGAGACUAGAGUACAGAAGGGGAAACCGGAAUUCAUGGUGUAGCGGUGAAAUGCGUAGAUAUCGAGAGGAACACUGGUGGCGAAGGCGGGUUCCUGGACAGUAACUGACGCUGAGGCACGAAGGCGAGGGGAGCGAAAGGGAUUAGAUACCCCUGUAGUC
rnacentral:rRNA from 1 species